ACCAGACUUAUAUACUGAUUGCUUAAUGUUCAAAAUGGAAUAAUGCUAAGUUUUAAUCACAAGUUUGAGAUGUUACUGAGUCCUUCUAACUUGGCAGAAAUACAACCUCUAACACUGUGUUCCUAGUGGUAGAGAUGAUGAAAACUCUGCAGUACUUCCCUGGGCUGUUUGGAGUCAUUCUUGCAGAAAUGCUGGCUGGUGUCACCCAAGGAUAUAUGAUAUGUUUCUAGUCACACCCUAGGACUCCCACCCUUGUAGCUUAUACUUUUCAGUUCUUGCAGGCUCAAACUGUGGUCUCUGACUCCUCAGCCUUAAGUGACAGCUACUUCUACUUGAGCUUCAUCUCUUGAACACCCUGGCAGUGCCUUCAGAAAAGAAGGUGGAUGAAUGCAGAUCUCACUUCAUCAUCUUCACCUUCUAUGAAGAUCACAUUCCCUUCAGAAAUUUCUGGGAUGAAUAAACAGCUACACAAGAUGGAAUGAUCAAGUCCUCCUGACAGUGAAAACUAUUUAACUGCUCAUGGUGGGAAGCAUUAGAUCUUCAUAUACCACACCUUCAGGGGAUUCGUGGGAAUUAUUGAUUGCUCUGGCAUGACUGAAGGUAUCAAAUGAUUAAUUUUAUUGUACUCAAAAUAGAAAUAAUAUUUAAGAACUGAAACAGAGAAUAAAAGCU
ensembl:lncRNA